ACCGCUAAACGGAUAGCGACUUCCGUUUAUCCUUAAACGGAUGUUGACAUCCGUUUACGGAUUCCCACAUCCAUUUAAGCGUUUUCUAGAUUAUUUUAGAUUAUGUUUUUGUUAGUUUUAUUUUUUAAGAUUUGUUUUUAUUAGUUUUAUUUUUUAAGAUUUGUUUUUAUUAGUUUCAAUUUUUUAGGAUUUAUUUUUAUUAGUUUUAUUUUUUUAAGAUUUAUAUUUUAAGAUUUGUUUUUAUUAGUUUUAUUUUUUACAAUUUGUUUUUAUUAGAUUUUUAUUUUAUUAGUUUUAUUUUUUAAGAUUUGUUUUUAUUAGUUUACUU
rnacentral:lncRNA from 1 species